rnacentral:rRNA from 1 species
UACAGAGACUGCAAGCGUUAUUCGGAUUCACUGGGCGUAAAGGGUGCGCAGGCGGCCAAGUGUGUGAGGCGUGAAAGCCCGGGGCUUAACCCCGGAAUUGCACCUCAAACUACACGGCUAGAGCAUUGGAGAGGGUAGCAGAAUUCACGGUGUAGCAGUGAAAUGCGUAGAUAUCGUGAGGAAUACCAGAGGCGAAGGCGGCUACCUGGACAAUUGCUGACGCUCAGGCACGAAAGCGUGGGGAGCAAAAGGG